rnacentral:SRP_RNA from 1 species
GCUGGGUGUGGUGGCGCAUGCCUGUAAUCCCAGCUACUCAGGAGGCUGAGGCAGGAGAAUUGCUUGAAUCCGGGAGGCGGAGGUUGCAGUGAGCUGAGAUCAUGCCGCUGCACUCCAGCCUGGGCGACAGAGCAAGACUCUGUCUCAA